AUGAGAUGUUUGAGCUGGAACUGCCGGGGGCUUGGGAACCCCGAGGCAGUUCGCGAGCUUCGCAAUGUGGUGAAGCAAGAAGGGCCUGAACUGGUUUUUGUUAUGGAAACGAAAAUCAGAGGGAAAAGAGUAGAGGAUUUGCGGCAUACCCUUGGGUUUGCUGGCAGUUUUGGAGUAGACAGUGACGGCCUAAGCGGUGGCAUAGGGAUGUUCUGGUCUACUACUGUGGCGGUGGAACUUAAAUCAUACAGUCACAUUGAUGUUUUGGUCCAUGAUGAAGCUCAGGGACCGAAUGCAUGGAGGUUCACAGGAUUCUAUGGCGCGCCUAGAGCAGCAGACCAUCACCAUAGCUGGUGUUGCAUUAUAACCUUACAUACCAUCCCCCAUGGUGCAUGGAUGUGCAUGGGUGACUUCAACGAAACCUUGUACCCUGACGAACACUUCAGUAGAGCAGCUCGCCCCGAGAGGCAGAUGAGAGAGUUUCGAGAAGUCACCGACGAAUGCGCUCUCCAAGAUCUAGGGUGGUAUGGUGUUGCUUACACUUGGGACAACCGUCAAGCUGGAGAUGCGAAUGUUAAGGCAAGGAUUGAUAGAGCCUUUAACAAUGAAGAGUUCAGACAAAAAAUUGAUCAUAUACGUGUUCGGCAUGUGUGUGCAGUGGAAUCGGAUCAUUGUUUUGUCAUCGUUGAAUUCAGAAACCAUGCAUUCACACAUGGUGAAGGAAAUAUGCCCCAGAGGCAAUAA
rnacentral:rRNA from 1 species